rnacentral:lncRNA from 1 species
AUGUGCCACUCUCAUCACAUUACAUCAAGCGAUACACACUAUCAACAUGACAUUACUGCUGAUGUGAACCUUGAUUCCUCGGCUGAUGUAGUGUUUGCCAGGUUUCUCUACUGUCAAGUUACUCUUUUCUCCACUUUCCAUAUUGUACUUUCUGAAAGUUUUUGAAGAGGAUUUUAUCAAGCUUCUUUUUUGAAAAAUCACCUGCAUUGGCAAUAGUUCACCAGUCCAAAUGCAAACUUAUCCCUUGAUCUGGUCUAUGGCUUGAAAACAUAAUCUUCAAAUAUUACUGAGCUUCUAAAGAGCAAGAUAACAGAAAAAUAGACUACCAUCAGAAAAUACAUUUUGAGAAAAACAUUAUUUGCUAGUAUUUUAAAAUGAAAUGUCAUGAAUGUUAAAUUCUAACUUUCAAAGAUUACUGAUUUAUCAUUGAAGAAAAGAAGAAACCUUCUAUAAAACUCCUGGUAAAUUUGUUAUUUGCAUGUUAGCAAAACAAAUGUAAAUAUAAACUAUCUGAUAAAAAUAUCAAAAGCAUGCUUUCUUCUCUUGAUUAAAAUGAAUAAAUCUACACACAGAAGAUGAUUCCUCGUACUGGUCUCUUAGCAAUGUUGAUCGUAUUUUUAUUUAUUUAUUUUUUUGAGACAGAGUCUUGCUCUGUCGCCAGGUGUCAGACUGGAGUGCAGUGGCACAAUCUCGGCUCACUGCAAUCUCUGUGCAUCUUAAUUUUUUAUACCUAAGAAAGUAGGAUUGCAUUUUUUGUAUGAAGCAGAAAUAUUAAUACAAAUAUCUAAAAUAUGUAUGUUAAAAUUAUUUUAUCAAAAUUAAUAACUUUUAAAAUAUUAAAUCAACUUCUACUAAGAGUUACAAUCCUGAAAAUUUUCUACUGAACUAAAGUACAAUCAUUUAAAUGAUAACAAUUUCCUAAACUAAAAAUUAGUGAUAAUUCCCAAUUAACUUUGAAGAAAGAAAAUAAUCUUUCAUGAGGUUUUCAUUGCCUGUUUAUACAUCUGUUUUGAGAGUCUGGAUGUUCAGUAGUACAUUUGUUUGAAGGCUGAAUCAUUCCUGACGGUAACUAUAUUAGCUUGUUCUCACAUUGCUUUAUGGAAAUACCUGAGACUGGGUAAUUUAUAAAGGAACAAGUUUUGAUUGGCUCACAGUUACACAUGACUGGGAAGUCCUCAGGCAUGGUAGAAUGAAGGGGAAGAAAGACACCUUCUUCACAGGAUGUCAGAAUGA